CUACGUGCCAGCAGCCGCGGUAAUACGGAAGGUCCGGGCGUUAUCCGGAUUUAUUGGGUUUAAAGGGAGCGUAGGCCGUGGAUUAAGCGUGUUGUGAAAUGCAGGUGCUCAACGUCUGCACUGCAGCGCGAACUGGUCCACUUGAGUGUGCACAACGCAGGCGGAAUUCGUCGUGUAGCGGUGAAAUGCUUAGAUAUGACGAAGAACUCCGAUUGCGAAGGCAGCUUACGGGAGCACAACUGACGCUGAAGCUCGAAGGUGCGGGUAUCAAACAGGAUUAGAUACCCUGGUAGUCCGCACAGUAAACGAUGGAUGCCCGUUGUUAGUUCACUUACGAAUUAGCGACCAAGCGAAAGCAUUAAGCAUCCCACCUGGGGAGUACGCCGGCAACGGUGAAACUCAAAGGAAUUGACGGGGGCCCGCACAAGCGGAGGAACAUGUGGUUUAAUUCGAUGAUACGCGAGGAACCUUACCCGGGCUUGAA
rnacentral:rRNA from 1 species